rnacentral:lncRNA from 1 species
UUCCCAGGCUAGGGGUCGAAUCAGAGCUGCAGCUGCCGGCCUAUGCCACAGCCACAGCAACUCGAGAUCUGUGCUGCAUCUACAACCUACACCAUGGCUCACGGCAAUGCCAGAUCCUUAAUCCACUGAGCAAGGCCAGGGAUCCUCAUGGAUACUAGUUGGGUUCCUUACUGCUGAGCAACGACAGGAGCUCCUAUUUUUAAAACAUUUUACAGCUUUUGAAAUCAGCCAGUUCAGUGGAUGAGUUCAUUUAAUGUUAAGGGUUCCCCAACCCAGAUAUCUACUACUAAAUUAAUAAAAGAUGUCUGACAUCUUUUAAGUUUUUGGAACUGAAGAAAUUUGGUAUAAUAGGGUGCCCUAUGCUGUGACUGAGGCAUGUAAAAAGGAUCAAAGGGGACAAGCAUUAGAGGGAGGGAGAAGCAGCAUGAGUGUAGUUGAGCUCCCUGAGAAGCUGUCUAGAUGACAGAAAGCCAAGAGGAACAGGACUUGAUGGUGACGAGUCUUGUGCCCACUGAUGGCCAACCUGUGAGUUCUCAUCCCUGGCUUUUCCAGCCCAGGUGGCGAGACCUGCUUGAGGAGGCUCUGACUGUAGCAUAAGCUUUCAGCAUGACUGCUCUCAGAGGCCUCCAGUGAAACUAAUCAGGAACUCUACAACUGGGGCCCUGUAUAUACCAUGUAGUGCCACUGAGGACUGGAGGAACAGUACUGUCCAAAACCCAAGAAGAGCUAACACUUACAUAGUUCUUCCUAUGUAAAACUUGGACAUUGUUCCAAGAACCUUACAUUGCUAAUUCGCCUAAUCAACACAACUUUACAGGUAGGUACUAUUACUAUCCCCAUUUUACAGAUGAGAAAAUAAAGGGAUAGAGGUAAAAUAACCUGCUCACAGCCCCAUAUUCUAGAGGCGCUGAGAUUUGAACCUGAUCUGACUUUAAUUCCUUUUUUUCCAACUAAGCCUGAAGCAUGCAGAAGUUCUCAGGCCAGGGAUCCAACCUGCACCACAACAGUGGCAAUGUCAGAUCCUUGACCCACUGUGCCAUGAAGUAACUGAACGUGGUCUGCCUUUUGAGUCCAAGUUCUCUACCCUCUGUUGCCUCUCAGUCCCGCUGUGAGUUAAAGAAGCACUCAUGGGAAGCUCAGGGCCACGCACAAACAGCUCUUUGCUUGGACUUUCAUGGCAUAUUCCCAUCCUUAUAAAGUAGACAACAGGGAGAAGAGGUAAGGGGAGAAAAUCUAGCCACUCCCACAGGUGUGGGAUCACGUGGAGAGAGUGUUCCUGACUUUCAGGCCACCCCCCACCACCAGCCCCUCGAGGCCAACUCCUUGUAGAAGAAAAAGAAACUUCUCACUUUUGUAUCCUUUCCAGCUCUCCAUCCACAACCCCUUCAUUCAUUUACUCAGGGGCCUUUAGAGGCCAGGACUGUAACAUGAAUGGAGAACUAAAGAACAAAUGCUCAAAUUCAAAAACAUUAAAACCUAUGCCUGACAAAGAAAACACUUCUGAAGAAUGAAGACUAGGGAAGCUGCCCGCUUGCCAUUGCUAUUCUAUUUCUUUGUUUCACACUCAUAGCCAUGGCCACAUCCCCUUCUCGUGCUCAGCCUCCAAGGAACUGGCACUUAGUCAUCCUGUCCCAUCUUGUUCUCUUGUAGGAUAGCCCAGAGGAGGCUUCACUGAUCUGAAUCUUAAAGGAUGGGUAGGAGUUUUCCAGGGAAGAGUUUAAUAAUGAAGAAGAAUGUAUUAUAGGUAGAAAGAAAUAGAAAGAGAGAAGGUUGAGAGAUAGAAAACUUAGGAGACCACUUGAGGAUCUGUGGGUAAUUUUAUGUGACUGAAGAGUAUGGGCAUCACAUGAGUCUGGAGAGGCAGGGCCAGGUGUCAGCAGGAUUCCAGCCUCUAUUGAAGAAACGUAGCUUUUACCCUGACAGGUGCAAGGAGAUGGUCAGAGCCAGUGGGGAGCUGCAAGCUGGCUAGGCUGAUUGAACCAAAGCAGAGGCUCUCAGGAUACAGUGCAGAGGUCCCAGAGAUAUUUAGUUUGAAGAAUGAUAGUGUUCAGUGAUAGGGGAGGGGAAGGAGAGAGAAGAUUGCAGUGUGGAUAAUGCUAGAGCUGGUUCAGGAAAACAAUCUACAACGGGAUACUGUUCUUGAAUGUCUUUCCUCCAUUUUGUGUCAUUUUGACUCAAACCUAUUCUUGAGUUGUUUCAACCUAUGAUGAGGAAAUCCCUGUAGAACUGGUUAAAAACUCAUUUUGUUCUUGUCCAGUUGAAAUUGAGAUGUCUAGUAGAGAGAACACAGAACCCAUUUGUGAGGAAAUAUGGAGAUCAGAAGCAAUAACAUGGCCUCAGCAGGUGGAGAUGUAGCCUGUUUGACCUCCGUGCUUCCUGGUGGUUUUCGUGCUCUCUUGGUUUCCUCCCUCCCCCUCUCUCUCUCUCAGAGCUUCCAGCUGUCCUCUCUUCAGUCCUCCAGCCUUUAAUUGACUGAUUCCUCAGAGGCAGGCACACUGGACCUGCCUCAGGAGAUUUCAGUCAAUGCCUGGAAAGGGCAGAGCAACACCUGGUCAGAGGGACUCCAUAUCUCCAGGUUCAGGACAAUUAUCAGGACAGAGAGGGGGCAGAUAGAUAAUAGGAACAACUCUCUGUUGCCUCUUUGAAUCAAGUUCCCUCUGGGGAGAUGACCUAGGGGUGACUCAGUGCUCAGAGGUUUAGUUCAGAAGGGGAUGGAUUGGGAGGCAUGAAGAUCAGCUUUAAGCCACUUCACAACAGAUGGUGCCUGGGCACUAGAGAGAGGUAGCAAAUCCAACUGCCUAUAAGAACCAUAAAAGAGUGAAAUGGGUUGAGGGAGGCUGUGGCAUCCUGGAGCAUGUAGGCCUCAUCUAGAGGGGGCAACUCCUAUGCAGCUCUAGCCAAGACCACAUGAGCACACGGGCCCAAGGAAGGGACAGCAGCCAACUUUCAAGAGGAAGCAAGUUCAGAGCUUUAUGAGCCAUCUCCUGAUUUGGGGAUGUUGGCAAUUAAUACAAUGUUUAAAAAUAUUGAGCAGAAAAAAAUAAAACAAAACAAAACCUCACUUGUGAGACAGAUUUGGCCCAACAUCUACAACUUUGCAAACUCUGCUCUGAAACUUGGACAUUAAGCUCUGAAUUUCAACAAUCUAGAGCUAGAGCAGGAAAAACAGUAGAGCUAUUAGAAAGCUGGAAAGAGUCAAAUAGUUCAUGGGACCUUGGGAGUCAUGAAUCCAAUUUCUAAUUGCAUAGAUGGGGAAGCCGAGUCUUGAGAAGACAAGUUGCCUGAAGGGUGCACAAUCUCAGGCAACAAGUGGUGUUUGCAGCAAAAACAGGGAGACUUAAAUCAGGCUCUAGAAAAGCAGCAUUCUGCAGACCUGACUGGCAUUUGCUCCUCUCCCCUCAGUCUCUUGUUUGCUUGUAUGUUUGUAUUCCCUAGUUUACUUAUAGCCUUUCUUGAACUCUGGAUUCACCCCAUCGGACUCCUGGGAACUGUCCUGGGCUUCAUCUGGAGCCCUGCCCAGACCUCUUGGCCUGGAGCAGUUGCUAUUUCUGAGUCUGCUGGCACUGUUCUCCCAACCCCCGGCCUCCUCUCUGGGCCUGUCUGAGCACCACCUGUGCUGGCUGUGACACCCAGCUAAUGAGGGGCAAAAAUAGGACUUGAACUCAGUCUGCCUGAGUUCUGUGUUCUGUCUACUCAGACACACAGCUUCCCAAGAUGAAUAUCCCCCCGUGGAUAGGGAAAGGCAAGUUUGAGUGUCUUUUUUUGUGUGUGUUUGAACUGUGAAGUGAGUUUGAGUACAUUUCAGUUUUGCUUUCUUGCCCUUUUUUGCCAUCUCCUAGUCAGAGCCAAGUUAUCCAUUAGGCACAGCAUGGAGGGUCCAUGAUACUUUAAAGGGUCCAUAAAAUAUUUCCAUUUUAAUUUCUUUAAAAAUUGGAAUAGGAGUUCCCUUCAUGGCUCAGUGGUUAACAGACCUGACUAGGAACCAUGAGGAUGCGGGUUCAAUCCCUGGCCUCCUCAGUGGGUUAAGGAUCCGGCAUUUCCAUGAGCUGUGGUGUAGGUCGAAGACAUGGCUCGGAUCCCCCCAUUGCUGUGGCUGUGGUGUAGGCUGGAAGCUGUAGCUCUGAUUAGAUUCCCAGCCUGGGAAUUUCCAUAUGCUACAGGUGUGGCCCUAAAAAGCAAAAUAAUAAUAAAAUGAUAAUAAUAAUAAAUCAGGAUAAAAUAAAUACAAUGAAUAUAUACAAACAAAUUUUGCAUAAGUAAUGCCAGUGAACUAUACACUUAAAAUGGUAAAUUUUAUGUUAGGCAUAUUUUAACACAAUAAAAAAAGAGACUGCAGACUGGAUUGCAUUCAUCUUGAUACUAACAUAGUCAUGAAAUAUGAUUUUAAACUUUUUUGGCCAUGCCAAAAAAGCUCCUGGGCCAGGGAUCAAACUCAAACUGCAGCAAAAUCUUUAACCAAAUCUUUAACCACUAGGCCAUCAGGGAACUCCAGUUUUUAAUAUUUUUUUUGUAGGGGAAAGGGCCCAUAAAUUCAAAAUGCCAGGGCCCAUGAAAAUAAUAAUUCAGCCCUACUAAUAUUGAGUGGGUGGCUAAUUCAUAUCAAUGAUAACUUUUAAAAAUUUAUGGACCAACACAUAUGGACUGCCCAUUGUCCAUGGCUCUGAGGGCCUAAUCAUGAAGGCCCUAACUCCUGUGAUCCAGGAUCCUAACACCUGUCACCUGGUUACAGAAAUAGUUUAGGUGAAAUUCGAGGACAGUGGCUCUGACAACCUUGUUAGUUCCAGUCUCCGCAGUUUUUUGGGCUUUUUUGCUUUUUAGGGCCUCACCCAUGGCAUAUGGAGGUUUCCAGGCUAGGAGUCCAAUCAGAGCUACAGCUGUUGGCCACAGCCACAGCCACAGCAAUGGCAGAUCCGAGCCGCGUCUGCAACCUACACCACAGCUCUCAGCAACACCAGAUCCUUAAUCACUGAGUGAGGCCAGGGAUUGAACCCACAACCUCAUGGUUCCUAGUCAGAUUCGUUUCUGAUGCCCCACAACAGGAACUCCUUGAUGCAUUUUUUAAUUAACAAAUCUCUCUCUUGGAAUACCAAAACAGAUGGCUCUCUCUGACUUGACUUGCUCCCAUCUGACCUAGUGUGGUAUAUCCAAACAUAUAUCUCCCUGAAAGACUACUCAUCGACUUCCAAUAUUUUCACUGUUUCAAAAGCUCGAUGGAGAUCCCACUCUUACUAUGGCAAGUAAAAUAAACUAACUCAAAAUUGCUUGAGUUUAGGCUGGAAUUGUGUCAGCAUGCUUGGUACAAUUAAUACAUUUUGAGAGAACAAAUGGAUUUUUCUUCCAGAUGCAUGUUUUGUUUUGCAAAGAGGUCUUUCAUAUAUGUGAGUCUUUGGAGAAAAGAUCAUAAAUGGGUCCUGGGAAGUAAAAAGGCAUGGGGGUCCCUGGAAAUAUCUCAGUAGAGUUUGCCUGACCCUUCUGGGAGGGCAGUUCUACUCCAGCCACAGAGAAAUUACCGACUAGCUGACUACAGGAGAGGGGGAGGGGACGAUGAGGAAACAUCACAUUAAAAUUCAAUGCAAAGUGAAAGCUUGUCUUGAGCAAGGGUGAAUGACUCAGCAAGAAACCUGUUUCCAGGAUUCAGUUACUGCUCUCUGCAAUUCCUCUGUUAAACAAAAAGCAGAUUCUUAUUAUCUACUUGAAGUUAUUCCAUUACUCGCCAGAUGGCAAGUAAGCAACAAACAUAUUUCCUAGCAUAUUUUUUAAAUCCUAAACUGAAAGGACUGCUUAGGGUCAUAAAUACUUCAUGUAUCUGGUCAUUGAGAGGGACUUCGCCUUUGGCAGCCUAAAAGAAGUUUUGGUUUUUAAGCCUAGUCCUGCAUUUGUCUCUAAAGCAUAGUUAUCAUUUCACAUUCCUACAUUCACUCCCCUUCCUUCUGGUAACAGUCAUUCCCCCUCUCAAUUUUCUCAGGAAACAAUACACACAUAAUCAGUUCACUCUUUUCUUAAUUUAUUCAAGUAAUAUUUAUAGUAGGGCUUCUCUGUGCUGCUCUGGACAUAGAGGCUACAUCAGCAAAAAAAUCCAGGUCCUUAAUGAAAUCUAUUCAGGAAUUCAGAUUUGUGUGGUAUAGGUGGGCCUGUGACCUUAAUUAUUCCUUAGCAUAAUUUCUCCCCUUAACUACCAUUCAGUAACUGGUUCAGAAAUGUGCAUUUGUCUUAGAUGAGUUUCUCUAUAAGCAGAGCCUGAGGCAAGGAUUCAGAUGUAAGAAAGGGAAUGCUCUUAGGAGAAACACAUAAGGGAGUGAGGGAAGCAAGACAGAACAGGAAGGAGCAGAGCAGAGAUCUGGUUUCCCCUUAAAGCUCAGAUUUGGCCUGAUUUUAUAUAGGGAAGGGGACGCUUGCUUUCGGAACACAAAUUGCAUGAGUUGUUUCUGCCUGGAGGCAAGGGGGCUGCCUUUUUGUAGCUCCUUGCCUGUCAGGCACUGGUCUAGAGACAUAGGCAAUGUAACCGCCUAGACAUCCUUGGGCUAACAGGCUUUUAUUAGUCAAGGGCAUCUCUCAUUAGUCAAGGUCACAGGUUUAAGCUGUGGGUGGUGGAACGAGGGAUAAGCAAGUGAAAGGUGCGUCAACUGAUAGAGGGGAUAUAGAUGGAGUACCAGAAGCAUCUACUACUGCAUGUGUCCCAGCCAGCCUAAUCCUAGACUGUGAGGAAACUGAAUCUGGAAAUUCUGCUGGAAUCAUC